rnacentral:rRNA from 1 species
UGCUACAAUGGCCGGUACAAAGAGAAGCGAGGCUGUGAAGCGGAGCAAAUCUCAAAAACCGGUCCCAGUUCGGAUUGUAGGCUGCAACUCGCCUACAUGAAGUCGGAGUUGCUAGUAAUCGCGGAUCAGAAUGCCGCGGUGAAUGCGUUCCCGGGUCUUGUACACACCGCCCGUCACACCAUGGAAGUUGGGGCGCCCGAAGUUGCCUAAGAAAUAAGGUACCUAAGGCGAAACCAAUGACUGGGGUGAAGUCGUAACAAGGUACC